GACGAACGCUGGCGGCGUGCCUAAUACAUGCAAGUCGAACGCUGAAGGCGUAUCUUGCUUCUCUGGAUGAGUUGCGAACGGGUGAGUAACGCGUAGGUAACCUGCCUGGUAGCUGGGGAUAACUAUUGGAAACGAUAUCUAAUACCUCAUAAUAGUAGAUGUUGCAUGACAUUUUCUUAAAAGGUGCAUUUUCAUCACUACCAGAUGGACCUGCGUUGUUUUGGCUGGUUGGUGGUGGGACGGCUCACCAAGGCGACGAUACAUAUCCGAACUGUGAGGGGGGUCGGCAAAAAUGGGAAUGGGACAAGGCCAAGAAGCAUAAGGGAGGGAGCAGUAGGGAAUGGUCGGCAAAGGACGGAAGUCUGACCGAAAAAGGGCGAGUGAGUGAAGAAGGUGUUCGGAUCGUAAAGAUCUGUUGUAAGAGAAGAACGAGUGUGAGAGUGGAAAGAUCACACUGUGACGGUAUCUUACGAGAAAGGAACGGCUAACUACGUG
rnacentral:rRNA from 1 species